rnacentral:rRNA from 1 species
CCUACGGGAGGCUGCAGUGAGGAAUAUUGGUCAAUGGGCGGGAGCCUGAACCAGCCAAGUCGCGUGAGGGAAGACGGUCCUAUGGAUUGUAAACCUCUGUAGGCGGGGAGCAAUGCCGGGCACGUGUGCCAGGAGGGAGAGUACCCGCAGAAUAAGCAUCGGCUAACUCCGUCCCAGCAGCCGCGGUAAUACGGAGGAUGCGAGCGUUAUCCGGAUUUAUUGUGUUUAAAGGGUGCGUAGGCGGAUUUUUAAGUCAGCGGUAAAAUGUCCGGGCUCAACACGGGCCGGCCGUUGAAACUGGGGAUCUUGAGUGGGCGAGAAGUAUGCGGAAUGCGUGGUGUAGCGGGGAAAUGCAUAGAUAUCACGCAGAACUCCGAUUGCGAAGGCAGCAUACCGGCGCCCGACUGACGCUGAGGCACGAAAGCGUGGGGAUCGAACAGGAUUAGAUACCCGGGUAGUC